GUUGGCGCCAAUGUAGUAGAGAAGUGAUGAUCUUCACUCUUCAGAGUUCAGAGCUCCAAUUCGAUCUUCGUCAACGAUUGAGAGAACUUCUUGCGGUGUUUAGAUGUGUUGGCACAACCUUUGUGUCCACCUUUAUCCUCUACAAUGGAUUCCAAGAUCUCACAGUGACAUAGAAAACAUAAUCUCAGCAUGCUGCUAAUAAUGAUCAGUUAUUAAUAGUUUACUGAGGGUUACGGAUUCCAACUUUAUUUAGAUGGUUUUGAACAAUAUAUGCCUCGGAUUUGUUUCAGUUUCAGGACGGGGAGUUUGAUAUUAGGAGAAUCUGUUAAAGAUUGGGAUAAGAUAUCAAGCAUUUUUUGUAAAAUAAGAGAACACUAUUUAGAAUUCCUUAGACGUCAACUUCUCUUAGUUGAGGUAUUCUCAAGACGGUCACUGAGUCACAUAGAUGCUUGGAAAUCUAGCCAUGUUCGUUAAAUUGGAUGGAAAUGUUUUGUCUCUUAUCUUGGUUUUAAAUUACUACUAAUUGGAUUUUGAGUAUGUAAUUGCAGAUCAAUGCCAAUAGACACGCCAUAGCAAUAGCAUAUAUGCAUAGGCCAAUAGACAUGUGUUAUCACUUUCGGCAGCUCCUUCUUUGUUAUAGAAAAACGAUAGAUUGUUUAAGUGGAGCUUUCCAUUAUGAUCCCAUACCAUGUUGGUGUUGCCUGAUGUCUUAGAAUACUAUAAGCAUUCCUCAAAGUAGCUUUUAGGUUUGACUAUUAACCACAGACUUAGGUGGGUUAGUUUGACCUUGUUAUGCGUUGGGUCCAUUUCCCUUUUCAAAACACACCGAGUUUACUUUUUUUAUCAUUGCGAGGAAGAAUCCCUUAUUUAUUUUUACCAAGAUAACUUACUGUGGGUCGAAUGGGGAUUUAGCUAUAAUGUACCAAGUUGGUGAAUGAAUCUGACCAAUUAGACCAGACCAAUAUCGCAUUUGUAGUCUUAGUACUGUUUGUAAUGACUGUGGUUU